UACACAAAUCAUUUUAUUUAACAAGUGUGUUUUCAUCUUGACUUCAGUCGUAUUGAACACGUAUUUUAUCUUACAGUUUUUGGUGACACCCGACGAUCUGCUGACGGUCGAAUUGACAGCGGUGGUGUGUUGGGGCUUCGGCUGGAUAGGCCGGUCGUGGGAGCCGCCAUAUCGACGCACGUCCUAAGGCGCCAAUAAACAGGCUUUCUCAAGUUUCUUUAAAGGACUUAGAUUCCUCUGGGUUAUUUACUUGGUCAAAAGCGAACCCCAAGGGAAAAAAAAUGCAAUUUGUCCACAACUAAAUAAAGUGAGCAGUUUGAAGAAGAGCACAGCAAAUAAUAAUGACCUGCAGGAAGGAUUGUAUCAUGAAAGACAUCGGGACACAGACCACAACUUCGAGUGCUUUAUUGGGUUUUUCACUGCUGGGGAAUGUUGUCCCAAAUGUCACCAACAGUUUGUAAAAAUGUGUCAUUUAGUAAGAGUUCAAGCAAAAAAUAUAUUAUUUUAUUAAUACUUCGGCUCCUCAAACAAAGCAGCUUGAUCAAAAGAUUACGACAGGAUUAAGAAAACUAAAACAAAAAAAAAACAUUUUGGAUGAGAGGUGAACCAAGACAGGAAGUCCAUUUCUGUUCAACUCUUACAAUUAACGUGACUUAAAAGACUGACAGUUUACAGCAAUAUAUUUAGGAGCCAAUGAUCUAGAAGAGAAGGAGGCUAAUUAUUCUCUAUGGAGUCGGUGGAGCCCAAAGUAAAGCUCAAAUGAGAGUGAAAAUUGGUUUUAUGAUGCUUAACUAGACAAGUUGUUCCUUUUCUAUGGCUUUUUUUGUCCAAACCGCAGCAAAACAUUAUCAAAUACAAUCAACAGCAACCUGAUUAAAAAGAAGAAGCCGAGGUGUCACACGGGGCUCGCGGGGGGAGGGACGUCGUUCACUCAUUAAACCGAUUACAGACCAGAUUUACGGCUCUGCGUAGCGUGGAAAAUAAAACGGGGUGAAGUUGACGUUGGAGGAAAAGGGCAGGUGAGAGGACAGAUAAGGGAGCUGUGUGAACACGGCGGCGGGGAGCACAGGGUUGAUGUAAAGUCAGCGAGCAUUAAAAAAAAAAAA